AUGAAGCUGGAGUUACUAGUAAUCGCAGAUCAGAAUGCUGCGGUGAAUGCGUUCCCGGGUCUUGUACACACCGCCCGUCACACCACGGAAGUUGGGGCGCCCGAAGCCACUUAGCUAACCCUUUUGGGAAGCGAGUGUCGAAGGUGAAAUCAAUAACUGGGGUGAAGUCGUAACAAGGUAGC
rnacentral:rRNA from 1 species